ACAAAGUUGCAAUCGCAGCGUCGCCGUCAGCUUCCGCCGCUGUGUCACAUCCAACAAAGCUGGCUCCAAACUGCGCGUACACGUUGCGAUCUAAGGCGAGGAGUCACGUUCGAUCGCCAUAGAACUUUGGUUUUUAUUGCCACUUAGUCAAUUGGUGGAGCCAUCCCACAUCUGUUUUCCAGUGGAAAGCACAAACGAGGGAGAUCACCAGGAUAAUGGCAGUCUGAAUACAUCGAGUGCCAUACCAAGUUGGGUACCACAGAUGGGCAUGAAAUUCGGCACUGUCGAUGAAGCAUGGACAUUCUGGGUUACUUAUGGGGGCAAAGUUGGAUUUGGUACUAGAAAGCGAUACCUCAACCCAA